rnacentral:rRNA from 1 species
GUGCCAGCCGCCGCGGUAAUACCGGCAGCCCGAGUGAUGGCCGAUCUUAUUGGGCCUAAAGCGUCCGUAGCUGGCCGAACAAGUCCGUCGGGAAAUCCAUCAGCCCAACUGAUGGGCGUCCGGCGGAAACUGCACGGCUUGGGACCGGAAGGCUCAGAGAGUACGUCCGGGGUAGGAGUGAAAUCCCGUAAUCCCGGACGGACUACCGAUGGCGAAAGCACUCUGAGAAGACGGCUUCGACAGUGAGGGACGAGAGCGCGGGUCUCAAACCGGAUUAGAUACCCUAGUAGUCC